AUGUGCCCCCUUUGCAAUGUGGUAGAAGACUCGAACCAUAUAUUCUUCGAGUGCAUCUCCGCUCGUUUCCUUUGGAGUUGCUUUCGUGAGGUAGUAGGCGGCACGUGGUGCCACAGCAACUUGCCAGACCUGUUUGCGGAACUUCAGGCCUCACCGUUGCAUACCAUUAGGUGGCUCAUGAUUAGGGUGCUAGCGUGGUCUUUGUGGACGAUCUGCAACAAACUUGUGAUCCAGCGCACUCCGCUUCGACGCUCGACUGACGCGAUCUUCAAAUAUUGUGGCUACUUGCAGCUUUUGCGGCCGCUUAGCCGCCCCCUGGACCGGGACGCCAUCGACAUCAUCAUCGCCGAUCUCCGAGCUCUAGCGUCCCGCUUGGGGCCGCCGCCCCCACCACCACCACCAGAGCCAGACUAG
rnacentral:rRNA from 1 species